rnacentral:rRNA from 1 species
GUCGUGAGACGUGGUAAGUCCGCACGAGCGCAACCUCGACCUUAGUUGCCAGCAUUCAGUUGGGCACUCUAAGGUGACUGCCGGCUAAAAGUCGGAGGAAGGUGGGGAUGACGUCAAAUCAUCAUGCCCCUUAUGACCUGGGCUACACACGUGCUACAAUGGUUGGUACAACGAGUUGCGAGUCGGUGACGGCGAGCUAAUCUCUUAAAGCCAAUCUCAGUUCGGAUUGUAGGCUGCAACUCGCCUACAUGAAGUCGGAAUCGCUAGUAAUCGCGGAUCAGCACGCCGCGGUGAAUACGUUCCCGGGCCUU